CCCACAGGGAAGAAGAGAAAGGAUUCCAGUAGGAGAGCGUGAGAGGCCCGUCUCUGCUGGAGCCCAGAGACGUCCCGCCCCGAGAAGAAAGCCCCCGUCGUCCACCACUUACGUUUAGAACUUUUCGCUCCGACAUUUUGACCUCCCACUCUUCUCACAAGCCCCGGAGAACUGCUCAGGCUCGGUAUUUAACGACCGGCCAAGUACUUCCGUUGACGUCACUUCCUCUCGCCACUCUGAUUGGCUACCGCAUCCGCAGUAUGCUUCGUCAUUGGCUCAGCACCCCGCCUGUCAAGAGCCGGAUCCUGUAGCCGUCCUUCCGGAGCUGCAACCUGGGUGGGGCGGCACAAAGGUUCCGGGGACGCUUCUCGCGUUUGGAGACGUUGGGGGAGGGCCCCGCGCCCCCCGGAGGUCGGCAGCGGCUCGUUACAACCGCCGGGAGGCGACAUGGCCGCCGGUCGCGACACCCCGGGUUGUUCAUCCUCUUAAAUGACAAAAGGAGUGUUGAUCGCCUGCCCUGCUGAUGGAUUCCGGGAACCCAGGCACCGGCCCGGUCCUUUGCGCCCCUAUGACGGCUUACACUUGUCGCGACCACCCCAUGCUUGUCCCGAGCCACGGACAGAGACUUGGGAUCUGUGAUCUCAUUGACUUGGGAUCUAUGAUCUAAUGAGUUAAUAACCAUUAAUUAACGGUUGCACAACCCACCGGCCCAGCCCCGACCCCACGGGCGUGGAGAUCGGCCGUGCCCAGGACUGAGUCCUCUCCAGGUCUCCACCCACGUCCGUUGAAUGAAAGGAGGAAACGGAUCCAUUCCAUUUACCAAGAUUCUUUUUUAAUGAAACGAUUCAAAAAGCUCACGUUCACGGUUCACAGAGCUCUGCCCUGCGGACAAAGGAGGGAGUGCAUCCCCAUUUCACAGAUCAGGAAACUGAGGCUCAGAGAGGCGAAAUCACUCGUUGGGAGGUUGUCCAGCAACUUGGCAGCAAAGCCGGGGUCAGCCUGAUGCCGUCUGCACCUCCAACGGUGGCAGGCGGGGUGGGGUGGAUGUCAGGGCCCCAGCCCCUCUGUGGGGGAGCUGGCAAGACCCCCUGACUUGCCCGGGGUCACAGGGGCAGCGGCCGGGAGGCUCCAGUCGCUGGGUUCGCCAUAGUCCGUGAGGUCCUGAGCAGACACCUGGACGCAGUACCUGGCUCGGGGCCGCAGAGCUUUGAAGUGUGUGGCCAGAUUGCAUUUGUUUACCCUUUCCUCCGUCGAUGGGCUGGUUCCACCUUUCGGCUAUUAAGAAUAAUGUUGCUAUGAAGAUUUGCGUACAAGACUUUGUGUGCACGUGUGCAUUUCUCUCACGUGGCUACCUGGGAGCCGGAUCGCUGGGUCAUACGGAACCGUUUCCGUUGCACCGCACUCCUGGAGAAUUCUGAGGAUCUCGGGUUCCUGACCCCACACCCCGAGUCUCCAUGUCUCCCGAGGCUGGGGGCAGUGGCCCCCGAGUACUGGAAUUCCCACCAAGUGCCCAGGACGUCCCGAGGCCCUUCCCUCUCCCUGCCCAGGCUCUCUGACCUGUAGGUGGCCACGAAGGACGUGUUCCCGGUGGAAUUCGGGGCUGGCGGCAGGGUCCAGGAGCAGUCCACGGCGACCGGGUACCUGGGGGCCUGGCACCGCACCCUGGGGGGCG